rnacentral:rRNA from 1 species
GCGAAAGUAGCAAUACUUUUGCAAAGCAAGUGGCGAACGGGUGAGUAACAAGUGGACAAUCUGCCUUAAGAUCGGGAUAAUUAUUCGAAAGGAUAGCUAAUACCGAAUGUUUUAUAUCUUUCGAUGAUUGAUAUAACAAAGGAAGCCGCAAGGCCUCCGCUUUUGGAUGAGUCCGCUGCCUAUUAGCUUGUUGGUAAGGUAAUGGCUUACCAAGGCGAUGAUGGGUAGCCGGCCCGAGAGGGUGUCCGGCCACACUGGGACUGAGAUACGGCCCAGACUCCUACGGGAGGCAGCAGUAGGGAAUAUUGCGCAAUGGGCGAAAGCCUGACGCAGCGACACCGUGUGUAGGAUGAAGAUCUUAGGAUUGUAAACUACUGUCAGUUGAAGAAGAAGGUAUGAAAGUUAAGAGCUUGAUUAUUGACGGUAUUCAACGAGGAAGUCUCGGCUAACUCCGUGCCAGCAGCCGCGGUAAGACGGGGGAGGCAAGCAUUGUCCGGAAUUAUUGGGCGUAAAGAACACGUAGGCGGUUUUUAAAGUCAAUUGUGAAGACCUUGGGCUCAACCCGAGGAUUGCAGUUGAUACUGGAAAACUAGAGUACAGUAGAGGAAAGUGGAAUUCCUGGUGUAGCGGUGAAAUGCGCAGAUAUCAGGAAGAACACCAGUGGCGAAAGCGGCUUUCUGGACUGUUACUGACGCUGAGGUGUGAAAGCUAGGGGAGCGAACAGGAUUAGAUACCCUGGUAGUCCUAGCCGUAAACGAUGGACACUAGGUGUGGGGAGUUAUCGACGCUCUCUGUGCCGAAGCUAACGCAUUAA